rnacentral:rRNA from 1 species
UGGGGAAUAUUGCACAAUGGAGGGAACUCUGAUGCAGCGACGCCGCGUGAACGAAGAAGGCUUUCGAGUCGUAAAGUUCUUUUAUAUGGGAAGAUAAUGACGGUACCAUAAGAAAAAGCCCAGGCUAACUACGUGCCAGCAGCCGCGGUAAUACGUAGGGGGCUAGCGUUGUCCGGAAUCACUGGGCGUAAAGGGUUCGCAGGCGGAAAUGCAAGUCAGGUGUAAAAGGCAGUAGCUUAACUACUGUAAGCAUUUGAAACUGCAUAUCUUGAGAAGAGUAGAGGUAAGUGGAAUUUUUAGUGUAGCGGUGAAAUGCGUAGAUAUUAAAAAGAAUACCGGUGGCGAAGGCGGCUUACUGGGCUCAUUCUGACGCUGAGGAACGAAAGCGUGGGUAGCAAACAGG